UACGGAGGGUGCAAGCGUUAUCCGGAUUCACUGGGUUUAAAGGGUGCGUAGGUGGGCAGGUAAGUCAGUGGUGAAAUCUCCGAGCUUAACUCGGAAACUGCCGUUGAUACUAUUUGUCUUGAAUAUUGUGGAGGUAAGCGGAAUAUGUCAUGUAGCGGUGAAAUGCUUAGAUAUGACAUAGAACACCAAUUGCGAAGGCAGCUUACUACACAACGAUUGACGCUAAGGCACGAAAGCGUGGGGAUCAAACAGG
rnacentral:rRNA from 1 species